UAUGUAAAUAGAGGCGCAGUUAAAAAGAGUAAUGAGAAAGAGGUAGACAGACCUAAGAUAGCUCAUGAAAGGGUUGAUUGCCGAAGAAGGUGUGUAUGUCAGCACAUCUAUCUGGGAUUUGAUUUAAUAAAUCAAGUACUCUCACUAUUAAGUGAUGGAGCUAUUGCAGAU
rfam:Clostridium cadaveris strain NLAE-zl-G419 genome assembly, contig: Ga0070261_131